rnacentral:rRNA from 1 species
AACGAACGCUGGCGGCAUGCCUAACACAUGCAAGUCGAACGAGACCUUCGGGUCUAGUGGCGCACGGGUGCGUAACGCGUGGGAACCUGCCCUUAGGUUCGGAAUAACUCCCCGAAAGGGGUGAUAAUACCGGAUAAUGUCUUCGGACCAAAGAUUUAUCGCCUUUGGAUGGGCCCGCGUUGGAUUAGCUAGUUGGUAGGGUAAAAGCCUACCAAGGCGACGAUCCAUAGCUGGUCUGAGAGGAUGCUCAGCCACACUGGGACUGAGACACGGCCCAGACUCCUACGGGAGGCAGCAGUGGGGAAUAUUGGACAAUGGGCGAAAGCCUGAUCCAGCAAUGCCGCGUGAGUGAUGAAGGCCUUAGGGUUGUAAAGCUCUUUUACCCGGGAUGAUAAUGACAGUACCGGGAGAAUAAGCUCCGGCUAACUCCGUG